UACGUAGGGGGCUAGCGUUGUCCGGAAUCAUUGGGCGUAAAGCGCGUGUAGGCGGUCCGGUAAGUCCGCUGUGAAAGUCGGGGGCUCAACCCUCGGAUGCCGGUGGAUACUGUCGGGCUUGAGUACGGAAGAGGCGAGUGGAAUUCCUGGUGUAGCGGUGACAUGCGCAGAUAUCAGGAGGAACACCAAUUGCGAAGGCAGCUCGCUGGGACGUUACUGACGCUGAGACGCGAAAGCGUGGGGAGCGAACGGG
rnacentral:rRNA from 1 species